GUUUGUUUAGCAGCAUCUUGUUACCCACAUUGUGCCUCUUAAUCUGGUUUUGAAACCAAUUUGCUUUUGGCUGCUAUGUAAAAGAGAACAAAUCAGGAAAGGUAGGUGAUUGGGUAGCCGGGUUCUAGAGGAGGUUAGUCCCUAGGGUGCUUUGCAUGGAUGACACCUUCCUCUAACCUCUUACGUUCGAACAGUGACAAGCUUUGAUAAAUACUGUGAAAGGGAGAGAAAACUUAUGAGAAAGAAGGUGAAUUUGUGGGUGUGGAAUUACGUUACACUGCUGAAAACGGUUGAUGCCUCUUUGUUUUUUUGUUUGUUUGUUUGUUUUUAAUUUAAUUUAUUGGUACAGUCUAGGUAGACAGAGCAGUUACAUUCAUUACUGGAAUCUUGUGGUUGAUGCCUCUUUGACCCGGUGACGGCAGAAGGACUCCCCCGCACUGUACCUAUCUUGGGUUUUACGGGAGCUGAAAUCUCUUUUUCUCAAAGCAAACAGCAAGGGCUUUGUAUGGCUUAGGUCAGUCCUGGGGGCUCCACCAGGCACCAGAUCUCAUCUUCCCUCCUCACCAGGACAUCGUGGACCACAGGGAAUCACAGGGAAGCAGUGAGAGCCUGGCCCUCAGGGAGGAAACGAGGGCAGUGUCGAUCUCAUAGUCAUAACUGUUGGUCAGCAGGACGCGUCCUGGCAUCUCAAGUCUGAGAAACACCGCUUGAGGGAACUCAACUGGCUUCUUCUGCAAACUGGCUGUGUCACUCUGGGCGAGUCCUCUCCAAGACCUCUGACGUUUCGACUCUGUAAAGUUAUGACCCGAGCUCCAGGUCAUUCUCCCCAUCUGGCUUUGUGGCCACACAUCUUGCUUUGACCACACCAAGAGAGCCAACAGCUUGCCUUUAUCCAUCAGUGCCAGUUUCAUCACUGAGUGAAGAAGAAGAAGAAGAAGGAGACACAUUUAUUUCCAGGUCCUUGUUCUAGAGGCAGUUAAAGGACAAGAUGACAAUGCUGGGUGACCUUUGGCAGCUAAGGAGAAAAUAAAGACUAAGACAUGAGUGCCCCUAGCAUGAGCAGCAGGGGGAAAGCAUCUCACUCUAUACCAUGUACAAUGCUUCAAGACUUAAAACCGUAAACAAUAGCAACAAAACUAACCCUCCACUCCAUUAUUUGGAAUACCAUUUGGAGAGAGGUGUUUGAGACAGGACCUCACCGUAUAGUUUAGGCUGGGCUUGAACUCACUAUGUAGCCCUAGCUGGCCUAUAAUUCACAGAGAUUCUUCUGUCUCAGCCUCCUGAGUGCUGGAAUUAUAGCUGUGCACCACCGUGCUCAGCUUCCUAAAUUUCUUUUUAAAAUAGUAGAAGUGGGGCUGGGGGAUGUAGCUCGGUGGUUGAGAACUUGCCUAGCAUUUGUGAGACCUUGAGUUCAAUCACCAGCCCACCUCCUCAAAAACGUAAAAAGGAAAAUAAAGAACAGGCUGGGAAUGUCACUCAGUGGUAGUGUGCUUGCCUAGAACACUCAAGGCCCGGAGUUGGAUCCUCAGCACUGGGUGUGGGGUAGUGGUGGUAAAGAAUAUAUUUGAUGCCUACUAAAAGGAAUACCGGGCUGGGGAUUUAGCUCAGUAGUUCCGGUGCUUGCUUUGCAAGUGCAAGGACCUGAGUUUGAUCCCUGGUACCAGAAGAAAAAAAAAAAAAAAGAUUAGGAAAUACCACAUGUCCCUGUGAUAAUACCAGCACUCACGUGCAAGCGUUUUCAAAGCCCGCAUUCAGCAUGACAGCGAGCACUCACGAGUUCCUGGCAGUGCCUAGCAGGUCUCAGACCUGGAGCUCAGGGAAAUGCUUAUCUUUUCUGACAGCCUGGGAUGAAAUCUUUCCUUAAUUAAUUAC
rnacentral:lncRNA from 1 species